ensembl:lncRNA
CACAUACACAUGUUUAGCAGAUGUUAUUGGUCACAUACACGUUUAGCAGAUGUUAUUGGUCACAUACACAUGUUUAGCAGAUGUUAUUGGUCACAUACACAUGUUUAGCAGAUGUUAUUGCGGGUGUAGCGAAAUGCUUGUGUUUCUAGCUCCAACAGUGCAGUAAUAUCUGACUAAAUGCGUAUGUUACUAGUGCCAACAGUGCAGUAACAUCUAACAAUUCACAACAAUACACACAUCUAAAAGUAAAAUUAUAGAAUUAAGAAAUAUAUACACAUUAGAUUGAGCAAUGUCAGAGUGGCAUUGAUUCAAAUACAGUAGAAUAGAAUACAGUAUAUACAUAUGAGAUGAGUAAAGCACUAUGUAAACAUUAUUUAAACCUUAGUAAAGUGACCAGUGAUUCCUUGUCUAUGUAUAUAGGGCAACAGCCACUAAGGUGCAGGGUUAUGUAACCGGCUAGUGAUGGCUAUUUAACAGUCUGAUGGCCUUGAGAUGGUCUUUCACUGUUCAGAAGGCUUUCUUUGUGGUAAAUGAGAAGCACAUUGCCAGAUAACAGACAAGGUCAUGCGGAAAGAGUUCCACCCACAUGCAGUUAUAUUUUAAUUCAAGGGUGGCUCUUCCUAGAGACCUAUACCCUCCUGCAGGGUUAUGUUCCAGUCCUACUCAGAACACACCUGAUUCUAUUAAUCAGCUCCUCCUCAGGAUAUUGGGUAUAGGGCUGGAGCCAAAGCCUGCACGCCCAGUAGCUCUCCAAUAUGACGGAUGGCCAACCCUGUUCUAAUUUCCCCUGUUUGUGUGAAUAAAUCAUAUGCUCUGUGCUGCAUCUCAAUCCACCACACCCCAUGUGCCGCACUACAGAUCCUGGAUCUGAUUCCAGGCUGUAUCACAGCGGUCUAAGGCACUGCAUCUCAGUGCUAGAGGUGUCACUACAGAUCCUGGAUCUGAUUCCAGGCUGUAUCACAGCGGUCUAAGGCACUGCAUCUCAGUGCUAGAGGUGUCACUACAGAUCCUGGAUCUGAUUCCAGGCUGUAUCACAGCGGUCUAAGGCACUGCAUCUCAGUGCUAGAGGUGUCACUACAGAUCCUGGAUCUGAUUCCAGGCUGUAUCACAGCGGUCUAAGGCACUGCAUCUCAGUGCUAGAGGUGUCACUACAGAUCCUGGAUCUGAUUCCAGUCUGUAUCACAGCCGGCCGUGAUUGGGAGUCCCCAUUGGGCGCCGCGUCGUCCGGGUUAGUGUUUGGCCCGGGGGUAGGCCGUCAUCGUAAAUAAGAAUUUGUUCUUAACUGACUUGCGUAGUUAAAAGUUAAAUAAAUAAAAUAGAAAAUACAAAGGAUUGGAAAGGGAGGGAGUAAAUACUCCUAGACUCAUGUUACUGAUUUAGGACUGUCUAUCCGGAAAAUAUUGUAUUUGCUUGAGUAAUCUCCUACCUUGAGUGAUAUUCUUACUGACCCCCACUAAUGCAUGACCUAGACUAAAACAAGCUCGGACUAAACUAAGCCAACACUGAAAUAAAAUCAACAGAAAUAUGACGUUACUUUUACAAAGGUGCUGUAUAAUAUACAGUAUACAUUUAAAAUAAUUUGUUUUGUAUUUUGUUCAGAUCGUAUGAUUACAAAAGUAUGUAUACAAUUUUAAAUAAAUGAAAUAUUAAAGACACAACACCGUCAUGGUUUUCUGGGUGCUUUGUUUGUGUGGUUUAAGAUAUACACUGCCUUUCAAAAGUUUGGGGUCACUUAGAAAUGUUGUUUUUGAAAGAAAAGCUAUUUUUCUUGUCCAUUGAAAUAACAUGAAAUUGAUCAGCAAUACAGGGUAGACAUUGUUAAUGUUGUAAAUGAUUAUUGUAGCUGGAAACGGCUGAUAUUUAAUGGAAUAUCUACAUAGGUUGACAGAGGCCCCAUUGUCAGCAACCAUCACUCCUGUGUUCCAAUGGCACGUUGUGUUAGCUAAUCCAAGUUUAUCAUUUAAAAAGGCUAAUUGAUCAUUAGAAAACCCUUUUGCAAUUAUGUUAGCACAGCUGAAAACUGUUGUUCUGAUUAAAGAAGCAAUAAAAUGGGCCUUCUUUAGACUAGUUGAGUAUCUGGAGCAUCAGCAUUUGUGGGUUCGAUUACAGGCUCAAAAUGGCCAGAAACAAAGAACUUUCUUCUGAAACUCGUCAGUCUAUUCUUGUUCUGAGAAAUGAAGGCUAUUCCAUGCGAGAAAUUACCAAGAAACUGAAGAUCUCAUACAACGCUGUGUACUUCUCCCUUCACAGAACAGCACAAAUUGUCUCUAACCAGAAUAGAAAGAGGAGUGUGAGGCCCCGGGGCACAACUGAGCCGGAAACAGACGCCUCAAGUCAAGUUAAAUAAAGGUAAAAUAAAUUUGAGAGGGAAGCCUUUACCUUUAUUUAACUAUGCAAGUGGGUUAAGAACAAAUUCUUAUUUUCAAUGACGGCCUAGGAACAAUG